GAUGAACGCUGGCGGCAGGCCUAACACAUGCAAGUCGAGCGGUAACAGAAAGUAGCUUGCUACUUUGCUGACGAGCGGCGGACGGGUGAGUAAUGCUUGGGAACAUGCCUUGAGGUGGGGGACAACAGUUGGAAACGACUGCUAAUACCGCAUAAUGUCUACGGACCAAAGGGGGCUUCGGCUCUCGCCUUUAGAUUGGCCCAAGUGGGAUUAGCUAGUUGGUGAGGUAAUGGCUCACCAAGGCAACGAUCCCUAGCUGGUUUGAGAGGAUGAUCAGCCACACUGGAACUGAGACACGGUCCAGACUCCUACGGGAGGCAGCAGUGGGGAAUAUUGCACAAUGGGCGAAAGCCUGAUGCAGCCAUGCCGCGUGUGUGAAGAAGGCCUUCGGGUUGUAAAGCACUUUCAGUCAGGAGGAAAGGGUGUGAGUUAAUACCUCAYAUCUGUGACGUUACUGACAGAAGAAGCACCGGCU
rnacentral:rRNA from 1 species